rnacentral:lncRNA from 1 species
GUCCGUUAGAUGGGGAAGCUAUGUGAAACCUUAUCAAUUAUCAUUAUAUAUAUCAUGGGAGGUACAUAUCAAAUAACCCUCUUGAAAGCAAAGGUCAAGGGUAGCAAUAGCUUUAAGCUUAGAAAUUAUUUCAGAAAUGGCUUCCUCAGUUAUGUCCUCAGCAGCUGCUGUUGCGACCGGCGCUAAUGCUGCUCAAGCCAGCAUGGUUGCACCCUUCACUGGCCUCAAGUCCGCCUCCUCCUUCCCUGUUACCAGGAAACAAAACCUUGACAUUACCUCCAUUGCUAGCAAUGGUGGAAGAGUUCAAUGCAUGCAGGUUUGUAGUGCAUAUUAUAUGGAUUUAACUUGCAAUAUACUGAUAGUACUAUAAAGAACUUUGCACCAUCAGUAUAUGUCACUAAGUGGAGUAACAUUUAUGGAGCUUGUUUAAAAUUAUUUAUUUGGGAUACAUGUAGGUGUGGCCACCAAUUAACAAGAAGAAGUAUGAGACACUCUCAUACCUUCCUGAUUUGAGCCAGGAGCAAUUGCUUAGGGAAGUUGAUUACCUUUUGAAAAAUGGAUGGGUUCCUUGCUUGGAAUUCGAGACUGAGGUCAACGUCUAUUAUAAAUCUUGCUACUAUUAUCAAGCAUAUAUACCUAACAUGAAUUACUCAAUCCUAACUAAUUUGGGAUCAAAUGUAGUUGAUUAAUGGUAUUUAUUUCAUGUUAAUGUUUUGUUUAUCUUGUGGAUAUGUACAGCACGGAUUCGUCUACCGUGAGAACAAUAAGUCACCAGGGUACUACGAUGGUAGAUACUGGACCAUGUGGAAGUUGCCCAUGUUCGGGUGCACUGAUGCCACUCAGGUCUUGGCUGAGGUAGAGGAGGCAAAGAAGGCUUACCCACAGGCCUGGAUCAGAAUCAUUGGAUUCGACAACGUCCGUCAAGUGCAAUGCAUCAGUUUCAUCGCCUACAAGCCCGAAGGCUACUAAAAUCUCCGUUUUUAAGACAACUUACCGUAUGGAUUCAGGGGAAGCUUGUUUGAAUCUCCUUGGGCUUUCCCCCCGGAGAAACUGUUUUAGUUUUCCUUCUUCAUUCUAUUCAAUGUAUGUUUUUGAAUU